rnacentral:rRNA from 1 species
ACCCUGGUAGUCCACGCCGUAAACGAUGUCUACUUGGAGGUUGUGGCCUUGAGCCGUGGCUUUCGGAGCUAACGCGUUAAGUAGACCGCCUGGGGAGUACGGUCGCAAGAUUAAAACUCAAAUGAAUUGACGGGGGCCCGCACAAGCGGUGGAGCAUGUGGUUUAAUUCGAUGCAACGCGAAGAACCUUACCUACUCUUGACAUCCAGAGAAGCCAGCGGAGACGCAGGUGUGCCUUCGGGAGCUCUGAGACAGGUGCUGCAUGGCUGUCGUCAGCUCGUGUUGUGAAAUGUUGGGUUAAGUCCCGCAACGAGCGCAACCCUUAUCCUUGUUUGCCAGCGAGUCAUGUCGGGAACUCCAGGGAGACUGCCGGUGAUAAACCGGAGGAAGGUGGGGACGACGUCAAGUCAUCAUGGCCCUUACGAGUAGGGCUACACACGUGCUACAAUGGCGCAUACAGAGGGCAGCAAGCUAGCGAUAGUGAGCGAAUCCCAAAAAGUGCGUCGUAGUCCGGAUUGGAGUCUGCAACUCGACUCCAUGAAGUCGGAAUCGCUAGUA